UACCAGCACCCCGAGUGGUCGGGACGAUUAUUGGGCCUAAAGCAUCCGUAGCCGGCCUUACAAGUCCUCCGUUAAAUCCAGCUGCUUAACAGAUAGGCUGCGGAGGAUACUAUAAGACUAGGAGGCAGGAGAGGCAAGCGGUACUCAGUGGGUAGGGGUAAAAUCCGUUGAUCCAUUGAAGACCACCAGUGACGAAGGCGGCUUGCCAGAAUGCGCUCGACGGUGAGGGAUGAAAGCUGGGGGAGCAAACCGG
rnacentral:rRNA from 1 species